rnacentral:rRNA from 1 species
UUCGCAAUGCCCGAAAGGGUGACGAAGCGACGCCGCGUGCGGGAAGAAGGCCUUCGGGUUGUAAACCGCUGUCGGGAGUUAAGAAAUGUAAGGAUGUUAAUAGCAUCUUUGCUUGACUAAGGCUCCGGAGGAAGCCACGGCUAACUCUGUGCCAGCAGCCGCGGUAAUACAGAGGCGGCAAGCGUUGUUCGGAAUUAUUGGGCGUAAAGAGCACGUAGGCGGCUAUGUAAGUCGGUUGUGAAAGCCUUCCGCUCAACGGGAGAACAGCAUCCGAUACUGCAUGGCUUGAGUGCGGGAGGGGAGAGUGGAACUUCUGGUGGAGCGGUGAAAUGCGUAGAUAUCAGGAGGAACGCCGGCGGCGAAAGCGGCUCUCUGGCCCAUAACUGACGCUGAGUGUGCGAAAGCUAGGGGAGCAAACGGGAUUAGAUACCCCGGUAGUCCUAGCCGUAAACGAUGGGCACUAAGUAGAGGGGUUUU